UCCCUGGUAGUAUAUUGGUUGGUACACGCGCCUGUCAUUGCCUGUCACAUUUAUCAAUACGCGUGAAGCUGGGUUCAACUCCCAGCCAGGGUG